AUGAUUAAUUUAAUGGCUGCAGUAUAUUGACUGUACAAAGGUAGCAUAAUCAUUUGCUUUAUAAAUUAAAGCUUGUAUGAAUGGUAUUAUGAAAAUAUGACUGUCUUUUAUUUAUCAAUAAAAUUUGAUUUUCCAGUGAAGAGACUGGAAAAUUUUAGAAAGACGAGAAGACCCUAAUGAGUUUUAUAUAUUAUUAUAUAUUAUUAUAAUUAUAUAUUUUAUUGGGGCAAUAAGAGAAAAAAUCUUCUUUUUAUAUAAAAGAAUAAUAUUUGAUGAACCAUUAAUAAUGAUUAAAAGUUUAAAUUACCAUAGGGAUAACAGCAUAAUUCUUUUCAAGAGUACUUAUCGACAAAAGAGAUUAUGACCUCGAUGUUGAAUUAAGAAAAUUAUAUGAUGAAGAAAUUAUAUAAAUAAGUC
rnacentral:rRNA from 1 species